AAGAAGAAUGGAUAGAGAACGUGUGGAACGGUUUACACAGCGCGAAGGCCUCGGGUGUGGCCCGGCAGUUAGGUGUUUUCCCUGCAUGUGUAUGCCUGAUGCCAGAAGAGGAGGGUACAGAGGCCCUGCAACUGGGGUUACAGAGGUGAAAUGAGAUGGAUUUUAUGGGCUAAGUGUGCUGCUGCCCCCAUGAAGACCUACUGUGUGAAAAUAUCCAUUUGGACCACAUCAUUUCACCUUGCAGGACUCAGGAUGGCCCGAGGUGCAAGAGUGCUCAUGCCAGGUUGCUUGUGCCCUGAGUAGCAAGGCCAUUGGUCAUGCACUACUAAAAUAGCUACAGACUCACUUUUUAACUUGUAAUUAUGGUGUAAUUAAAUACCAGAUCUGGCAAACCUCUUCUCAGGUUUUUUAAAGAUUUACUUUGUUUGUAUGAGUGUUUUUGCCUGCAUGUAAUAAUAACGACAUACAGAGUAAUGAUUCUACUCAAGUGUAGCUUGGUCUUAUAGAUCAAUCUCAAGAACCAGUAUAUUCCAACCAAUAAAUGAUUGCAUAAAGAAAUGACGUGAAGCUGAAACUGGGUUAUCAAAAAAGACAUUCUGAGAAGGAUUUGUGAGGAGGAGGAAUAUUGAAUUUGCUUGUUUGAAGUUGACAAGUGUUGCAAUGUAGACCUAUGUGUAUGUCUUGGCUUCAAGUUCAAAUGUCCUACAAGUUUAGAUUUGUCCCUUUGCCAGUGAAAAUUCUGUUAAAAAAAUGGAUUUGAAGUACUUCUAGUGACUAGGAGUGACCCACAUCUGCACUAUUAAAGGGAGGGCGAGAAACUCUUAUUUUUGAGAUUAGAAGAAGAGCUACAUGUGAAUCAUCCAGUCUCCCCCCCUUACACUUUGGAAACCAGUUGGCAGGUAGGAUACUAAAGAGGACCCGACAAUGUAAUUAAAGUGGAGCCUCAGACCGCUGGAGGCUCCCAGGGAUCCUUCAGGGGUCAGCAAGAUCAAAGCAAUUUCCACGAUUCAAGAGGUUUCCCACAGACAACCAGAAACCACCAGUGUGCAAAAGCAGAGCGUCGUUAUUCAAGCUUGAGCUCAGACCCUCCAACCUCUCUAGGACAGUGGAAGAUGUGGAAGAUCCUGAGCUGGAGCACAAAGUAUGGAGCUAGACUGGAACGAACGUUGAGCUAUAUGGCAGACAGAAUAAUAAACUCCCCAAAGCUAAAUCCUAAUCCCAGAAACCUGGUUUUACGAUGUAGCCCUGGCUGAUUAUAUAAUAACUCACUAUAUAAUACCGACCAAGAUGGCUUUAACAGAAGUUAGACUGACUGUGGACUUCAAAGGCAUAUGUAAAUGUCCUUCACAACACCAUCUGGGUAAUUAAGGACUGCAGCUGCGCUGACAGGCACAGGAAACAUCUGAUUUGUAACUCUGAUUCACCUCUGUUUGACUGACAGCAUGCUCUUGUGUCUUAGUGGCGUUCAAAAGGGAGUGGACACCAUAGGCUGACAGAACACUGAGCGUGGCCCCAGCAAGUAAGUCAUGGUGAGCAUAUUUUUGUUUUAAAAAGUUAUUUAUGACCAUCUUGCAACCCUAGCUUUGUUUCAAAAGAUUAUAAUCACCUAUGACGACCUUGUUAUGACUACCAGUUGGGCUGAUACUAUUUCCCAGCAAAGUAUUUGGGGGAGCUUCUUAGACUUUUCGUCUAGGACUUCAUGCAUCAGACUUUAUACACCACAGAUCCUUUUGAGAAUGUGCAGGUGUGAAACUACUAGCUAGCAGGAGAUAACCUCCUGUCAGGUACUUGUGGCCCUCACUCUGGCUUUAAUACUAUUGAGAUGAUGGGCUCAGGAAACUGGAAUUUCCAGCCAGAGAGAGAACUUGUUUUCCUGAAAGAAAUUUUCUUUUAUUUCAGACCACCUUGCAGGAAAGAUUGAAUCUAGCAAUGAUGGGUCCCCCCUCCCUCCGCCUCCUGCGAUCAUCCUGUUCCCCUCUCAAUGCAGGACUGAAACAUCCUCACCGUGGUCUUCCUUCCUCCUAAGCUCCACAUGGAACUGAUAAAAAAAAAAAACAACAGACAAAAGAUAGACAUAAAGGCUUUCCAUGGAAGCAACUGCAAUUGGCGUCUAGUCAUAAAGAAAUCGUCCAGUUUCAUCCAAAACGAGAGAAAUGCAAAGACUCAUCUGCCUGAGGAGAGAUUUGCACUGAGUCCUCAUGGAUACUAUCAGAGGGCACAGGUCCACACCUAGCCUCUCUGUCAGUCCACCACUUCUCCAGAGUCAGGGAUAUGUCCCUCUGCAGAUGGGAACACAGAAUUGCCUGCAGUUUGGGGCUCUGUCAUCUUUCUCAAAGCCUCUACUGGUGUUGUGAAGGCAAACACUGGCAUCUCAGGGAAACACAGCUUUCUAAUCUAGUGGAAGAAAUGAUAUGCGUGUAUAAUUAACUUCAAAACGAUGGCAGUGUGUAAUCAAUCAUGGAUUCUUCAGAGAUAGCUGGGUGGUGAGUUAGAUCUGCUCACGCAGGCAGGCAGAGCAUGCAUAGUCGGAGCAUCUGUGGCUGGCACUGGAGACCUGGAGCAGAUACUCCUCUGGUUUGGUUGUUUUCUGCUUCAAAUACAGAAAUCGCAGAAGAGCUUGGAAUGUAGCCUGUGGGUGGGUGAGACCUCUUCUUCCACUCCUCCAAAUGGUAAUGUCAGACCCAAAGACUUCCAAGUCCAAGGCUAAAUGGAGCCUGUGAAGAAUUCUGCUUAGCACCAAAGGUGCUCUGUCUAAGAGCACAGAUCAUGGACUUUCACGUGGUCUCUGGCAUCAGUAUAUGCUCAGACCUCAGCAUGGUCUCUGGUGGCAAUACAGAUUAAGGACAUCAACCUGCCCUUUUGCCACAGCAUGGGUCAAAGACACCAUCAUAGCCCUCAGCGACAGUACAGGCCAAGGACAUCAACAUGGCUUCUCAGGCAACAUGGAUCACAGACACCAAUAUGGUCCCUGGCAGUAGCUCAGCCCAUAGACAUUAACAUGAUUUUGGGCAGCCACCGAUAUCCACAUGGCUCUCUGUGGCAGCACAGCCAUGAACAUUGACAAGAUUUUAGACAGCAUAGACUAAGGCCCUCUGCAUUGUCUUCAGUGGUAACAUGGGUCUCUCAAAUAUUCACAUGCUCACCAGUGACAGCUCAGACCAGGGACAUCCGUGUGAACCAGGCUCAAUGUGGCUUGGGGAAGCAGAUAGAUACCAACAUGGCCUCCAGGGCAAACACAAACCGUAGAGGUCCUAUGAAGGGGUCCAAUCCAAAAAUGAACUGUUGCUUGUUGUCUCAUUGUUUAGUCUUUUGAGUUCUUCAUAUAUUCUCGAUGCUAAUACACUGUCAUGUGCAUCUGGAAAAGAUUUUCCUCUCGUUAUUUAGGCUGUCUCUUCACCUUCCUUUGCUAUACAUGUCCUUUUUAAUUUCAUAAGGUCUCAUUUGUUCAUAAUUGGACUUAUUUCCUAGUUGGAAGAAGUCCUAAUCAGAACGUCCUUAUUUAUAGCUGUAACUUGAAGUCUUUCCCCCACUUUUCCACUGUAGUUUCAGAGUAUUAGUGCUUUAAAAAAGACAUUUAUGUAUUUUUAUGUAUGUGAGUACACUGUAGCUGUCUUCAGACAUACCAGAAAAGGCCAUUGGAUCCAAUUUACAGAUGGUUGUGCGUCACCAUGUGGUUGCUGGGAAUUGAACUCAGGACCUUUGGAAGAGCAUUGAAAUCUAUCAUCAAGAAGUCCAAGCAGUAACUGGAGCAGCAGCCUGGAAGGAAGCAGGAGCCCAUGCAGAGGCUACGGAGGAGUGAUGCGUACUGGCUUGCUCCCCAUGGCUUGUUCAGCCAGCUUUCAAAUAGCACUCAGGACUACCUGUCCAGGGACUGCACCACCCACAAUGGGCUGGGCCAUCCCACAUCAAUCAAUAAUGAAGAGAAUGCACUAAUAAGCUGUGUACAGGGAAGCCUAGAGAGACAUUUUCUUAAUUAAGAAUCCCUCUUCCCAAGUGACUCCAGCUUGUGUCUGCAGUCAGCUUAGGUCACUAUUCAGACAGAGUAAUAUAUUCAACUCCGUGCAAAUAGCCUUUCCUGUGUUUGAGGAGCUGAUGGGAGAAAAUAAUAGUCAUUUCAUUUUGUCUCAGGAAUAAUUUAACAUAAAUUACAACGUAUGAAACAUGGCAAGCUAACAUAGCUAUUAACAAGGUAAAAUUUCAAAGACUAUGAAGAAAAAAGAAUAAAUAAAGGGCCCUGAAUUUGUGUAGCAAGUGUAUCUGUACUCAAUCAUACAGGAGGGACCACAGUUGAUCUUAGAGAGUCAUGGACUCCUCAAGGACCAGGCCCUAGACAGUUCUUGUGCCAAAAGAAUGUUCUCAUUGCUUGAGACUUGGCAGUAUCUCUGGGACUGAGUGCUACCUGACAGAGUGCUUCAUGGUUUGCAUUCAAGCACAGUUAUCAACCCGAAAGACACAAGGAAUUCAACUGCUGUUUUUUCCUGAACUCAAAGCUACUUCAUCACUUCUGAAUGGCACAGUGAGCAGAUUUCACCCUGAGCAGGCAGUGUUUCCUCCCUGCAGAGAUUGCGGUGGAACCCUGAACGACUCUGGUGGCACUUUGGGUAACAAGUCAGGAGAUGAGCCUGAAGAUUGCCACUGAGAAAACAGCUGGUUUAAAGUAAUGUAACUGGUCGGGCAGAAAUGAAGAUCUUCUAAAGAGACAUUUGUGACUCUCUAUGUGACGAUCAGACUAGUAAAACAAUGAACCCUAAACAAACGGGAUGUUCCCAAAGAAUCUAAUGCUGGGAGAAAGAAAAGGCCCCAGCCAAGGGAGAAAUUGAACUCCUGGAUAGAGGUUUCAAGUAGUUCAAACAACGCAUCCUCUGACUACCUUACAGGAUAAGACUGGAGCCCAGACAGUGACGGGUGGAUGGCAGGCAGGACCACCCGUUGCCCAGGACUGUUGAGAUGUGCACAUCCUUGGCUCACUAUUUAAACUUUGAUCUCACUUCAGUACCCAAAACUGGGCUUAGGGCAGUUGCUGGAUCUCCCUGGCUCUUCUUCCAACGUGACCAAUGAAUAAAUCUCUCUUUUGUGUUUCCUCUCCAAGGGGAAGAUGUAAAGGAAGAGAAGAAGCAUUCUCUGUGGAAGAAGGGGUGAAGGGAGGCAAGCUUUGUGAGGAAGAAGAAAAGGAGGAGGAUGAAGGGGAUGAGGAAGAGGAGAAAGAAGAGGAGGAAGAGGAGGAGGAGGAGCUGCAGCAUCAGCUUGGACUUACAAAUCCACGCCCUUUCCACAUGCUCGAGGGAGGACAUUAAUUCUUCAUUCUCUGCUAAAUGAGCAGGGAGUUUCUCUGAAGGAAAUGCCCGGUUCUCCUAUCAUGUCAGUAGAGAAGACAGAUGGAUCAUGGAGAAUGUCAGAUGACUAUUGAAACUCAAUCAGGGAGUGACUGGGAUCACAUCUACUGUACUAGACGUGGUGUCCUUACUGGAGCAGAUUACACAUCUUUUGAUACAUGGAAGUCCUUCAUUGUUAUUAGAGCCUACUUCUUCAGGAUUCCAGAGCCUACUGAAGACCAGCUGAGACAUCCAGCCUUGUGAACUGAAGAAUUACUGGAUUCUUGGACCUUCCAUACAUAGGCAGGCAUAGUUGGAUUAGCUGGACCACAGCCUGGUAUAUGUUGUCUUAGUUCUGUGUAGGUGUUGUAUCAUGGCAAGGUUUGGAUUUGUUAAAGGCACAUCACAGCUUCUGCUCAAAACAAUCAGGAUAAACUAAAGCAACGUACAAAGAUGUGUAUGGAUAAGAUGUGUACGUGUAAGAUGUGUACGUAUAAGAUGUGUGAGAUAGGUCCAUCAUCAAAAACGGAGGCACAGUUGGCUCGGGAAACAGCUCAGUACGCAAGAGCAUCUGCUCUGCAAGCAGGAACACUCGAGUUCAAGUUCCCAGCACCCAUGUGAAGAACAGCGCAUAGAUAUACACACCGAACAUUGAAAGGCAGAGUCAGGUGGAUCCCAGGAGUUCACUGGCCAGCCAGCCAACCUAGUAAAAAUGGUAACUGCAAGAUUCCUGGAGUCCAGGGUGUCUUGCUGGGUUAAGACUGCUUCUCCAGAGCUGUAAAUAUUUGAAUCCUCGAUGGUAAUACCCUCAGAGAACAGAAGACUACUACUUCCUAGACACAUACUACCCAAUGUCAUUUAAGCAACACCUCCUGAUAUUUCAUGGUCUGUUCCCAGUUUCAGCCAUGGGCAAGUUACAUUAGUGCUGCUCAGAAAAUGACUUUUUCAACAGAGUUGGCUGUCCCCUUCCACAGUGUGGGGCA
rnacentral:lncRNA from 1 species